rnacentral:rRNA from 1 species
UCCUGCCCAGUGAUAAACUUCACCGGCCGCGGUAUCCUAACCGUGCAAAGGUAGCAUAAUCACUUGCCUAUUAAUUGUAGGGUAGAAUGAACGGAUAAACGAAAUAUAAGCUGUCUCUAUAUAUAAAAUAAAAAUUAAUCUCUAACUGAAGAGUGUUAGAUAAAAUCGAAGGACAAGAAGACCCUAUAGAGCUUUAUUUAAACAAGAAAUAAAUUCUUACUAAAAUUCGGUUGGGGCGACCAAGGAUAUCUUCAAUCAUCCUAUACCAGUAGAUCAAUAAAUCUCAUGAAAGACCCUUAAUAAAGAGCAGAAGAACAAGCUACCUUAGGGAUAACAGGCUAAUCCUUCUUAAGAGUCCUUAUCUAAAGUGGGGGUUGGCACCUCGAUGUUGGCUUAGGGAAACUAUGUAGCGCAAAAGUUACAUAAAGAUGGUUUGUUCAACCAAUAAAUCCCUACAUGAGCUGAGUUCAGACCGGCGUAAGCCAGGUUAGUUUCUAUCCACGAUAUUAACAUCUAUCUAUAGUACGAAAGGACCUAGAUAAGAAUAAUUAAUUAUAAAUAAAGAAUAAAUUUAAAAUAUAUUAAAUCUUACUUUAUAUAUACUAUA